rnacentral:rRNA from 1 species
UUUGGUGGCUUUUGCGAGAGGGAAACACCUCUUCCCAUCCCGAACAGAGCCGUUAAGCCUCUCAGCGCCGAUGGUACCUUCACACCACUGUCCGGUGGAGCAUCCGCUUCAAUGGACAAUGGCGUGGAGGGAGAGUAGGUCGCCGCCAAAA